rnacentral:tRNA from 1 species
GAAGGUACAGCUCAGUGGUAGAGUGUGUGCUUAGCAUGCAUGAGGUCCAGGGUUCAAUCCCUAGUAUCUCCA